rnacentral:snoRNA from 1 species
UGCGUGGGUGAUGAAAACUUGACCUUAGGCGGCUCUUUUUGGGUCGUUUUGGCCCAAAGUUUGGGGGCUUGCCGAUGUUUGGACUUGUCAUAGUUACACUGACACGCC